ACCGUGGAAUGGAAAGGUUCUGUCUGCACUUUGGAGUUCAGCCCCUCGUCUCUGGGGUGCGGGUGGGGUUUUUUGGACCUCACCUGCGGAGGCCUUUGCGCUCCUUCGGCCCCACCGCGUGGAAGGCAGGACCCGCAAGGUCGGCGGAGAAGGCCAGUAACCUAAAAUGCAGAGUGGAGCCACUGAACUUCACUGGUAUCUGAAGCCAUACUGCCAAUGGACAAAAAAAUGCAGAGCACCUCCUGCCCCUUGGCUCAAAAUGUCAGUCACUGGGAGAAGGCAGUUACUUCUGAUGAGUGUUCACAGGGAUUUGGCCCCCUUGAGGAGACCUGUCCUGAGCAGCAGGCCCUGGAAGUCCUACCUGGAGAGAGACGGAACAGGAUGUGGGUACAUGAUUCACCUAGCAGAGAGAAGGUCAUAGUAGUGAUGGGAGAUGAAGAGCGAGAUCUGGAUGGAGAAGAAUGGGUUCCAUCCAGUGCCUAGGAAGGGCAGAGCUUGGCAUGUUGAGAAGAUUUUGGCAUCAGCUUUCGAUUCACCAGUUAUUCAACAUUGGCCCAUAGUCAUCCAGCCUGAAAACGUCAUUCCUUUUUCUUGGGUCCUGCAAAAGAGAGGUGGGGAGCUAGCAGUCAUCCUGCUUAUGAGAGUUUCCCAGUGGUUACUGUUGAGGGCAUCUGGCAAUCAUAAGAACCACAAGGGCUAAUCCAGCC